rnacentral:misc_RNA from 1 species
GAUGAAGAACGUAGCGAAAUGCGAUACGUAAUGUGAAUUGCAAAUUCAGUGAAUCAUCGAGUCUUUGAACGCACAUUGCGCCCGCCAGUAUUCUGGCGGGCAUGCCUGUUCGAGCGUCAUUUCAACCCUCAAGACCCCUUCGGGGGACUUGGUGUUGGGGACCGGCACAGGGGCCUGCCUGCUUGUCUUGCAGCGCCCUCGCCGCCCCCGAAAUGAAUUGGCGGCCUCGUCGCGGCCUCCCCUGCGUAGUAGCACAACCUCGCAACGGGAACGUGACGGCGGCCACUGCCGUAAAACAACCCCAAUUUUAUUAGAGUUGACCUCGAAUCAGGUAGGAAUACCCGCUGAACUUAAGCAUAUCAAUAAGCGGAGGA